GAUGAACGCUGGCGGCGUGCCUAAUACAUGCCAGUCGAGCGAACAGACGAGGAGCUUGCUCCUCUGACGUUAGCGGCGGACGGGUGAGUAACACGUGGAUAACCUACCUAUAAGACUGGGAUAACUUCGGGAAACCGGAGCUAUUACCGGAUAAUAUAUUGAACCGCAUGGUUCAAUAGUGAAAGACGGUUUUGCUGUCACUUAUAGAUGGAUCCGCGCCGCAUUAGCUAGUUGGUAAGGUAACGGCUUACCAAGGCAACGAUGCGUAGCCGACCUGAGAGGGUGAUCGGCCACACUGGAACUGAGACACGGUCCAGACUCCUACGGGAGGCAGCAGUAGGGAAUCUUCCGCAAUGGGCGAAAGCUUGACGGAGCAACGCCGCGUGAGUGAUGAAGGUCUUCGGAUCGUAAAACUCUGUUAUUAGGGAAGAACAAAUGUGUAAGUAACUAUGCACGUCUUGACGGUACCUAAUCAGAAAGCCACGGCUAACUACGUG
rnacentral:rRNA from 1 species